GAAUCUGGGUAACUACAUUAAUUUGCAUAAAAACAGAAGAAGCAGAAGAAGUUUGGGGUAGAACUUGGGACCUUUGCUAAAUAUAAAAAAUUAUCCCAAAGAAGUUCAAGAUAAAUUUUGGCAUCAAGAAGAUAUUUUGCAAAAUCUAGGCCAAAAAUUUCAAUCUAAAGAUCAGACAACCUUUGAAGAUCUGGCAUCUCCUAUCUUUGAAUAUCCAGCAUCUCCUAAAGCUGUGGCUUUUCUCAAUCCAUUUGUUCCAGAAGAUUGAGAGAUGAUAAAAAAAAAGAAGAAGAAAAAAGAGAAAAAAGAAAUAUUUUUCUACUAACCCUUUUAUCAAUUUUUUGGUAGAUAAAUUUUCUUUGCAGGUACUAUCUAGUGGCUCUAGCCACUUCUACAACUAGAUGAUUACCACUAUCCUCUGAAGACAACCACUAUUACUAUUUUCGAAGCUGGUUUAAUUCUCAAAGAUAAUUCUUCUCCAAAAUUCAGUCUACAUUAAGGUCUACACCAG
rnacentral:lncRNA from 1 species